rnacentral:rRNA from 1 species
GAUGAACGCUAGCGGCAGGCUUAACACAUGCAAGUCGAGGGGUAGGGUUAGCUUGCUAACUUGAGACCGGCGCACGGGUGCGUAACGCGUAUGCAAUCUACCUUGUACAGAGGGAUAGCCCAGAGAAAUUUGGAUUAAUACCUCAUAGUAUCUUCAGAAGGCAUCUUUUGAUUAUUAAAGUUCCAACGGUACAAGAUGAGCAUGCGUCCCAUUAGCUAGAUGGUAAGGUAACGGCUUACCAUGGCAACGAUGGGUAGGGGUCCUGAGAGGGAGAUCCCCCACACUGGUACUGAGACACGGACCAGACUCCUACGGGAGGCAGCAGUGAGGAAUACUGGUCAAUGGGCGCAAGCCUGAACCAGCCAUGCCGCGUGCAGGAAGACGGUCCUAUGGAUUGUAAACUGCUUUUAUACGGGAAGAAACACUGCUACGUGUAGCAGCUUGACGGUACCGUAAGAAUAAGCAUCGGCUAACUCCGUGCCAGCCGCCGCGGUAAUAC